rnacentral:tRNA from 1 species
UCCCUGAUGGCUCAGACGGUAAAGCAUCUGCCCAAAAUGCAGGAGACCUGGGUUCAAUCCCUGGGUUGGGAA